AAGUCGGAAUCGCUAGUAAUCGUGGAUCAGAAUGCCACGGUGAAUACGUUCCCGGGCCUUGUACACACCGCCCGUCACACCAUGGGAGUGGGUUGCAAAAGAAGUAGGUAGCUUAACCUUCGGGAGG
rnacentral:rRNA from 1 species